GCCCCCGUAGCCCAACUGGCAGAGGCAGCCGGCUUAAACCCGGCACAGUCCGGGUUCGAACCCCGGCGGGGGCACGA
rnacentral:tRNA from 1 species